rnacentral:rRNA from 1 species
AGCCUACCCUAGCCUCACCCACUACAAUNNCAAAAACCCACUGUCCCACCUAACUAAAACAUUACCCCCUANNCUUAGUAUAGGCGAUAGAAAAGUGCACCNUGAGCGCUAUAGAAAGAGUACCGCAAGGGAAAGUAUGAAAUAAUAAUGAAAAUCAAGCACUACACAGCAAAGAUCGACCCUUGUACCUUUUGCAUCAUGAUCUAGCAAGAACAAACAGACAAAGCGAACUAAAGCCUGCCACCCCGAAACCUAAGCGAGCUACUUACGAGCAGCUACCAUGAGCAAACCCGUCUCUGUCGCAAAAGAGUGGGACGACUCGCCAGUAGAGGUGAAAAGCCAACCGAGCUAGGUGAUAGCUGGUUGCCCGCAAAAUGAAUCUUAGUUCUUCCUUAACCCCUCCCCCAGGACAACAAACCCAAACCCCCAUGCAGUGAGUUAAGAGCUAUCUAAAGGGGGUACAGCCCCUUUAAAAANGGACACACCCUCCACUAGCGGAUAACCCCUCCCCACCCUGACCCCNNNGUAGGCCUUAAAGCAGCCACCCCAAAAGAGUGCGUCAAAGCUCUCAAUCAAAAAUACAAAAACAACGCGAUUCCCUACACCUUUAGCUGGCUAACCUAUAACAAUAGAUGAAUCAAUGCUAGAACGAGUAACCAGGAUACCUUCCCCUCAAGCGCUAGCUUAUACACCAUUAACAGNNNCCCAACCAUCAAUGCUUAGCCCCCAANNCCCAAGACCAAACAUUGAACAUACCCUGUUAACCCAACCCAGGAGCGCACNNNACUAGGACGAUUAAAACCUACAAAAGGAACUCGGCAAACCCAAGACCCGACUGUUUACCAAAAACAUAGCCUUCAGCUAAACAAGUAUUGAAGGUGAUGCCUGCCCAGUGACACCACNNNGUUCAACGGCCGCGGUAUCCUAACCGUGCAAAGGUAGCGCAAUCAAUUGUCCCAUAAAUCGAGACUUGUAUGAACGGCUAAACGAGGUCUUAACUGUCUCCUGUAGAUAAUCAGUGAAACUGAUCUCCCCGUGCAAAAGCAGGGAUAGACACACAAGACGAGAAGACCCUGUGGAACUUUAAAAUCAAUAGCCACUACACACCAGCCCAAANNGCCCACUCGGCUCCACCUCNNCCACACCACUGGCUAAUAUUUUUAGAUUGGGGCAAUCUUGGAGAAAAGCAAAUCCUCCAAAAACAAGGCCAAACACCUUAGCAAAGAACUACCCCUCAAUGCACUAAUAGUACCCAGAUCCAAUAAAAUUGACCAAUGAACCAAGCUACCCCAGGGAUAACAGCGCAAUCUCCCCCAAGAGUCCCUAUCGACGAGGAGGUUUACGACCUCGAUGUUGGAUCAGGACAUCCUAGUGGUGCAGCCGCUACUAAGGGUUCGUUUGUUCAACGAUUAACAGUCCUACGUGAUCUGAGUUCAGACCGGAGCAAUCCAGGUCGGUUUCUAUCUAUGAUUAACCCUUCCUAGUACGAAAGGACCGGAAAGGUAGGGCCAAUACCCCAGGCACGCCCUCACCUUAAGUGAUGACUCCAACUAAAUCACCAAAAGUCUAUACCCACACCCCCUCUAGAAAAGAGCU